UACGAAGGGGGCUAGCGUUGUUCGGAAUUACUGGGCGUAAAGCGCACGUAGGCGGACUAUUAGGUCAGGGGUGAAAUCCCGGGGCUCAACCCCGGAACUGCCUUUGAUACUGGUAGUCUCGAGUCCGGAAGAGGUGAGUGGAAUUCCGAGUGUAGAGGUGAAAUUCGUAGAUAUUCGCAAGAACACCAGUGGCGAAGGCGGCUGACUGGUCCGGUUCUGACGCUGAGGCGCGAAAGCGUGGGGAGCAAACAGGG
rnacentral:rRNA from 1 species